UGGUGGAUUCCUAUAACAAGAAAAAAGUAAAUUUAAGUAUGAAUAGAGCAAGAAAAGGGAAAAUUUUAGGUAAAAAAUUGUAAGUAAAAAAUUAUACAAAGAUAGAUUUUAUAUUAAUCAUCUCCCCCCUUUUUUAUUAAUUUUAUUGUUCUUUUCUUUUAAUUAACUCGUUUUUUUUAAUUCUAUCUUAUUUAAAAUAUCAUAAACAGUUUGUAUAGGUUGAGCGUCCUUUUUAAGGAAAUAUAGAAUAGCAUAAAAACUCACUUUUCUAAAAUCUCACUUUUCGAAAAUCUCUUCCUUCUCUUCGGGAUCGAACAUCAAUUGCAACGAUUCGAUAGAUGGCUCAUUGGGAUAGAUGUAGGAGGUUUUUCUCCUUAUGCGGCUUGAGAAAAAAAUUAUUUUAAUUUCAAUAUAUCUUUCUGUAUAUAAUAUCAAAUAGUAAACACAAAAUUAGACCAAAAAAUUAUUAUAUAUACUAUUUUUGUCUGUUCAUAUAAAAGACCAAAAAAUCUACUUUGCACAGUGUCAAUUUUGUAACCAUCAAUUUAGCAAGGAAAAAUCUCUUUACU
rnacentral:lncRNA from 1 species